rnacentral:rRNA from 1 species
AAUAUUGCGCAAUGUGGGGAACCCUGACGCAGCAACGCCGCGUGAGUGACGAAGGUCUNCGGAUCNUNAAGCUCUGUCAUCGGGGNCGAAUAGAUGACGGUACCCGAGGAGGAAUCCCCGGCUAACUACGUGCCAGCAGCCGCGGUAAUCCGUAGGGGGCGAGCGUUGUCCGGAAUUACUGGGCGUAAAGGGUGCGUAGGCGGCCUGAUAAGUCGGAUGUGAAAUACCACGGCUUAACCGUGGGGGUGCAUUUGAAACUGUUGGGCUUGAGUGCAGGAGAGGAAAGCGGAAUUCCUAGUGUAGCGGUGAAAUGCGUAGAGAUUAGGAGGAACACCAGUGGCGAAGGCGGCUUUCUGGACUGUAACUGACGCUGAGGCACGAAAGCGUGGGUAGCGAAC